rnacentral:rRNA from 1 species
AGAGUUUGAUCAUGGCUCAGGACGAACGCUGGCGGCGUGCUUAACACAUGCAAGUCGAGCGGAAAGGCCCUUUCGGGGGGUACUCGAGCGGCGAACGGGUGAGUAACACGUGAGUAAUCUGCCCUUGGCUUUGGGAUAACUACCGGAAACGGUGGCUAAUACCGGAUAUGACCAUGCUCGGCAUCGGGUGUGGUGGAAAGUUUUUUCGGCCAGGGAUGUGCUCGCGGCCUAUCAGCUUGUUGGUGGGGUAAUGGCCUACCAAGGCUUCGACGGUAGCCGGCCUGAGAGGGUGACCGGCCACACUGGGACUGAGACACGGCCCAGACUCCUACGGGAGGCAGCAGUGGGGAAUAUUGGACAAUGGGCGGAAGCCUGAUCCAGCAACGCCGCGUGAGGGAUGACGGCCUUCGGGUUGUAAACCUCUUUCAGUACCGACGAAGCGCCGAUGAUGGUGGUGACGGUAGGUACAGAAGAAGCACCGGCCAACUACGUG